GAUGAAGAACGUAGCGAAAUGCGAUAAGUAGUGUGAAUUGCAGAAUUCAGUGAAUCAUCGAAUCUUUGAACGCACAUUGCGCCCUUUGGUAUUCCUUAGGGCAUGCCUGUUCGAGCGUCAUCUAAACCUUCAAGCCCUGCUUGGUGUUGGGUGCCUGUCCCGCCUCCGCGCGUGGACUCACCUCAAAUCCAUUGGCGGCCCCCGCGUCGGCCACGAGCGCAGCAGAAACGCGAACUCGUGAGCCCGUCCGGGCGGCUCCCAGAAGCUAACCCCCAAUUUUUGACCUCAGAUCAGGUAGGGAUACCCGCUGAACUUAAGCAUAUCAAUAAGCGGAGGA
rnacentral:misc_RNA from 1 species